GGGAGAGGAGGUUUGACGGAUGUGACCGUCGUUACUGAAAUUUCUCUUUAGAUUUCCUGCAUUUCAGAAAAUUCUUUAAAGGAGAACCUUGACUCGAGUGUCCUUGAUUACCAAGCAGGUAUUGCACAUUUCACAGCCUAAUGCGACCAACUAAGUAUACUUGCAGGUCUCUGCGAUGUACCUAAUGUGCUGUACUGGCUGUGGGAUCCUUCUGUGACAGAAAGGAGUAUUACCUGUGUUGUGGUUUCAGUGCAAAAUAUAACAUAUCUGGUAAUAUACUUGUUUGAUGAAUUGCAUCUUUUAAACAAAUCGUGGGGAAUUAAAAUUAAAAUUAGUUCAUUUUUUUCUCAGUAAUACCAUGG